AGUUGCAUAUGAUAAAAUUUGGUCAUAACUGAGCCUCUUAACUUGUUUGUACGACUGAAUUUGUCCACUUGUGUUCUUUGCUGUUAAAUCAAUUAUAUCAAGAAAGGGCUGUCUUUACUUGUCACGCUGAGAUCUCGUUUUUUGUGAUAAGAAAUGUUAAAUUGGAAAUGUGAAGGUAUUUGCUGUGAGUGCAACUCUUAAGUGAACCUGUCAACUUGUUUCUGUCAAGAUCAAUAUUGAGUCAAGCAGGCGAGCGUCAACUAGUUGUUUAAUUCUACAUAAAUAAAGACUGUCAAUUUGCCUGAAAUGCUAUCAGUUUGCGUAGAACCGUGUAUCUGUCAGUGUAUUCUUAAUGACUAAAGUGCUAAAAUUAUUAACGAAAAUUUAAUGACUAACAAAAAGAAUAUAAAUAAAUGAUGGAAGCACUAAAAUUGCUAUUAAGGAACUGAUACAAUUAUUAUUGUGGUGAAUAUAUGUGCCUCAAUCGAACUGUUUUAUAUACAAAAGACUUCAGCCGAGAAGAGCAAAGCAAGCGGCGAAGAGGAGACCGAAAUCCGAACCCAAACCCAAA